rnacentral:rRNA from 1 species
GUAGGUGGCAAGCGUUGUCCGGAAUUAUUGGGCGUAAAGCGCGCGCAGGCGGUUUUUAAGUCUGAUGUGAAAGCCCACGGGCUCAACCGUGGAGGGUCAUUGGAAACUGGAGAACUUGAGUACAGAAGAGGAAAGAGGAAUUCCACGUGUAGCGGUGAAAUGCGUAGAGAUGUGGAGGAACACCAGUGGCGAAGGCGGCUUUCUGGUCUGUAACUGACGCUGAGGCGCGAAAGCGUGGGGAGCAAACAGGAUUAGAUACCCUGGUAGUCCACGCCGUAAACGAUGAGUGCUAAGUGUUAGGGGGUUUCCGCCCCUUAGUGCUGCAGCUAACGCAUUAAGCACUCCGCCUGGGGAGUACGGCCGCAAAGGCUG